GUACCCAAUUCUAUUUGAGUAAGAUGUUCUUUCAUCUUUUGCUUCUGUUGUCAUGCAUUUUGAUGGGAACGGGGUUUAAGGGCUACUUGGAGGGGUAAUCAGAUGGUAGUAGUCGCCCCCUUCUCUUUUUAACCUUGUUCAGAACUCUCAUAGUGGAUUUUGUUGCUCUUGCACACCUGACCAUUUUUUUUCCUUUGAUCCUUUUUUU
rnacentral:misc_RNA from 1 species